CUACGUGCCAGCAGCCGCGGUAAUACGUAGGGGGCAAGCGUUAUCCGGAUUUACUGGGUGUAAAGGGAGCGCAGACGGCUCUGCAAGUCUGAAGUGAAAGCCCGCGGCUUAACCGCGGGACUGCUUUGGAAACUGCAAGGCUUGAGUAUCGGAGGGGCAGGCGGAAUUCCUAGUGUAGCGGUGAAAUGCGUAGAUAUUAGGAAGAACACCGGUGGCGAAGGCGGCCUGCUGGACGAAAACUGACGCUGAGGCGCGAAAGCCAGGGGAGCGAACGGGAUUAGAUACCCCGGUAGUCCUGGCCGUAAACGAUGGGUACUAGGUGUAGGAGGUAUCGACCCCUUCUGUGCCGGAGUUAACGCAAUAAGUACCCCGCCUGGGGAGUACGACCGCAAGGUUGAAACUCAAAGGAAUUGACGGGGGCCCGCACAAGCGGUGGAGUAUGUGGUUUAAUUCGACGCAACGCGAAGAACCUUACCAGGUCUUGACAUUGAUGGACAGAACUAGAGAUAG
rnacentral:rRNA from 1 species